rnacentral:lncRNA from 1 species
CAGGAAUAAGGGACAUUCUCCUGGAUCAUUCUGCUUCGUGAGAGGAUGAGGGCUCAGGAAACCAUUGCACUGCUGUAUCCACUCACAUCAGUGUGAUUGAUUUUCUAGUGACACAGAAGAAUAUGUACUUUACAACUCCAUCCCUCACCUUGGAACUCAAAAUUUACAUGUUGAACAAUGGAGUAUCUAAGACACAGAGUUUCAAUACGUAGGUGAAGUUCACAUCACCAGUAGCAGACUGAACUGGGAUCCAAAGCCAAGCAAUGUCAUCAUCUGUCCUUCAAUGCAUGGUGCUCUGCCACCUCACUGAGAGACUGAGGAUUCCUUUAAAAUAAACUCUAAUGGACACAUCACAUAUACCAUCAUUCCUUCCCUUCUCUGCUGUUUCUCUCAGCUUCUCCCAGUCUUUCUGAAGCUUUCCCCCUACCAUCAGUGAAAUCUCUACCUUGUCAGGUUAUUUGCUUGAUUUCUGCAAAACUCCAUUUUCUCAAAAAGAAACUCACUGGAGCAAAACUUAAAUUCUAAAUGUCACA